GGGACUAAAACUCAAAACUUUCACACUUAGAAAAAAAAUUGCGCCCCACCCACCCCAAAACUGAAACCCUAAGCUCAGUGUUCUCAACCUAGACUCGAGCUCCUCCUAAACUAGAGCUCCUCCUCCUCCUCCUGAUCACCAUCACAAUCCUCCCUCCUCCAUUCUCAGGCGGAAUCUGAAGCGCCGAGAUCCCGACCUCGAUCUAAAAUUGAAGUAACAGCUCUGAAUCCAGAGUCCGGCCUCGAUCUGAAGAAAUUAAAGAGGAAUGGUUCUUUCCUCUCAAGCCCCACCGAAGUCGGGGUUGGAGCCCUAAACCCGAACACAGCAACCCAGCUGCACUCAACUGCGCCGUUUCUGACUCUCUCCGUCCUCGACUCUCCGUCUCCGCCUCUCCGAUUGGAGCUACUUUCAUGGCCAGGCGGCUAGCAGAAUCUGGAUGACUAGAUCGGGAAAAUCGAUCCCAUUGAUCUGUUAUGAUGCUUCAAUGGCAAGAGGGUUUUCGUUAGGGUUGAUCUCAAUGUUCCUUUGGAUGACGACUGUAAGAUCACCGAUGACACUAGAGUCCGAGCAGCUGUCCCCACCAUCAAGUACUUGCUCGGAAAUGGUGCCAGAGUCAUCCUCGCUUCCCACUUGGGACGUCCCAAGGGUGUCACUCCCAAGUAUAUCUGAUCUGCAGAUACAUUUCUCUCGUUCUUAACUCCCAAGGGGUCCCAAGGAUAUAUUAAUGAAAUAUAUCUGUGUUUACAGAUACAUUUCUCUCGUUCUUAACUCACUUGCAUAUUCAUGCAGGAGGAUUCGAAGUAGAACUAAGAUAAGUGAAAGAUGAAGGUGGCAGUGAUUGGUUCUGGUAUUAGUGGUUUGGUCUCGGCCUAUGUUCUUGCAAAAGAAGGUGUUGAAGUGGUUCUAUAUGAGAAAAAAGACUACCUGGGUGGCCAUGCCAAGACUGUCACAUAUGAUGGUGUUGAUUUGGACCUUGGUCUCAUGGUCUUCAAUCAUGUGAUGUAUCUAAAUAUGAUGGAGUUCUUUGAGAGCCUUGGAGUUGAUAUGGAGACAUGCGACAUGUCUUUCUCAAUGAGUUUAGAUAAAGGACGGGGCUGUGAAUGGGGUAGUCUAAAUGGUCUCUCAAGCUUGUUUGCAGAAAAGAAGAACUUGUUCAACCCAUACUUCUGGAAAAUGCUUCAAGAAAUCACCAAGUUUAAGCAUGAUUUGAUCAGUUAUCUUGAGGUGCUUGAGAGUAACCUAGACAUUCACCGGAAUGAAACCUUGGGGCAGUUUAUUGAGUCACAUCACUACUCUGAACUAUUUCUGAAGGCUUACCUUAUUCCAAUAUGUAGUUCAAUCUUGUCGUGUCCUUCAGAAGGAGUUAUAAGCUUCUCAGCUUUCUCAGUGCUUUCGGUAGUUCAAUCUUCUUUGGGUCCCUUUGAUAUCUUUUCUGUUGGGGGCCGGAGAUAUGUCUGAUGCAAAUGUUGUGAAGUUCAGGAAUGAUGGGAGACUUAUGCUGUUAACUACUACAAAUGGACAUAUUCAUGUACUUGAUUAAUUCUGUGGCACGCUUUUAUCCAUGUACAAUGUAAAGCUUGUCUCAAGCAAUGCUACAUUAGAGGCUUCUUUUAGCCCAGAUGGGAUGUUUGUUAUGUCAGCUUAAAGAGAGAAGAUAAGUGAAGCUAAUCAAGUCUCUUUUGAUAUUGAAAUGUUGACGUGUUGUUGUGGAGGAACCAAAAGAUAUCAGCUAGUGUUUUAACUGCUGCAUUUCAACUUCUUCAAAAGAUGGCUUCAAACAAGGACAGCAGCUGCAAUGUCAGAAAAUGCCAUAGUCCUGAGUUUUAAAUCGAGGGUUUAAAGCAGAACAGCAGCUAUAGUGUCAAAGCUCCAGAGUUUAAACUCAAGAGUCAUUACUGGAUACUUACUAGCAGGAUCUGCCAUUGGACCCAGAGGCUUGAAUUUUGUCAGUGAAAUAGUCCCAGAGGCUUGUCUUUAUUCCUAUUUUGCUUGAUUGAUUCUUUCUUUGCGCUUCCCCUAUUGACUGUUUCUUCAGGAUUAUGUUUUCAGUUCCAUUUGCAGAUUCAAAAUCAUGAAUACUCAUGUUAUACUAGAUUCAAAAUCACGAAUACUCAUGUUAUACUAGUUCGGUCUUUUGCCAUUCAGUAUAGGUGGAUCUAUACUUUUCUUGUCAUUAAUUUAUGUGUGUUUACAUUUGGUAAAGUCCAGUUAUAUUAGUAUUGAGAUUCAUUGCCUUUUUAGUACCUUUUAAGCUCAGUCAUGUCGCUAUUUCUUUUUGUUGAGUUUAGUAAUACCAGAAAUCACUGUCAUUAGGUUUAUGUUGCACUGUGAAACUGACUUUGUCAUUCUCUUGCAGAGCCUUGGAUUACAAGUUGUGAAAUAUUUGGCUGCCAAAUAUGAAGAGCUAGGGUGUGAAGUGAAAUGGAUGGGCAAGCCUGAUAAGGUGAUCUAGUCACAUUGGUCUGGUUACCGCUGUUAACUUCACUUCAUGUGAACCUUUAGCUUAAUACAUAUUUCUCUUGCACUUGACUACCAAGAUGAAUUUUGAGCAAGGCUACUUUUUGCUUUGAAGCAACGUUUGGUGUAGAAAUUUUGUAGAUUGUUGCUCAUAUGUUUCUAGGCUAUCCUUUGUAGGUUUUGGGGUUUUCUUUUGUGACAUAUGUUCAAUCAUGAAUUUGGAAAGAAAAUUAAUGGAAAGCCCCAAUUUUUGGAUGAUUAUGAAA